GCACUAGCGCGGUGGUCCCACCUGACCCCAUGCCGAACUCAGAAGUGAAACGCCGUAGCGCCGAUGGUAGUGUGGGGCCUCCCCAUGCGAGAGUAGGGAACUGCCAGGC
rnacentral:rRNA from 2 species